CGCGUCUUGACGGGGUGCUAGCUGCCUGAGUUUUUGGUAGCCGGCUGAGAUUGCAACGCAGAACCCGCGACCUGAUCCGGAUAAUACCGGCGUAGGGAUUGAGACCAGACCAUCG
rnacentral:ncRNA from 2 species